rnacentral:rRNA from 1 species
CCUACGGGUGGCAGCAGUGGGGAAUAUUGCACAAUGGGGGCAACCCUGAAGCAGCGACGCCGCGUGAGUGACGACGUAUUUCGGUAUGGAAAGCUCUAUCAGCAGGGAAGAAACUGACGUUACCUGAUUAGGAAGCCCCGGCUAACUACGUGCCAGCAGCCGCGGUAAUACGUCGGGGGCAAGCGUUAUCCGGAGUUAUUGGGUGUAAAGGGCGUGUAGGCGGGAAAGCAAGUCAGAUGUGAAAAUUCAGGGCUCAACCCUGAGCCUGCAUUUGAAACUGUUUUUCUUGAGUGCUGGGGAGGCAAGCGGAAUUCCGGGUGUAGCGGUGAAAUGCGUAGAUAUACGGAGGAACACCAGUGGCGAAGGCGGAUUGCUGGAGAGGAACUGACGCGGAGGCGCGAAAGCGUGGGGAGCGAACAGGAUUAGAUACCCUUGUAGUC